rnacentral:rRNA from 1 species
GAUGAACGCUAGCGGCAGGCCUAAUACAUGCGAGUCGAACGGUGUAGCAAUACACAGUGGCGCACGGGUGCGUAACACGUAUGCAACCUACCUAUUAUUGGGGGAUAGCCUUUGGAAACGGAGAUUAAUACCGCAUAAGACAGUGACAUGGCAUCAUGUAGCUGUUAAAGCUUUGGCGAUAAUAGAUGGGCAUGCGUCCAAUUAGUUAGUUGGUGAGGUAAUGGCUCACCAAGACGAUGAUUGGUAGGGGAUCUGAGAGGAUAAUCCCCCACACUGGCACUGCGAGACGGGCCAGACUCCUACGGGAGGCAGCAGUAGGGAAUAUUGGGCAAUGGAUGGAAGUCUGACCCAGCCAUGCCGCGUGCAGGAUGACGGCGUUAUGCGUUGUAAACUGCUUUUUUAUAGGAAGAAGAAGCCCUUGCGAGGGAAAGUGACGGUACUAUAAGAAUAAGCACCGGCUAACUCCGUGCCAGCCGCCGCCGUAACAC